CAGAGUUGCAAAACUCCCUAACCCUUUGUGUAUCUUACCUUCUGUACGUUGCUUCGGCAGGCGGCCCCGGGGAGGGGUCUCCGGCCUGGGUCUCCAGGUGCCUGCCGGGGGGACAACUAAACUCUUGUUAUUCUAAGCCGUCUGAGCCUAUAAACAAAUAAGUUA
rnacentral:misc_RNA from 1 species